rnacentral:sRNA from 1 species
UUUUGCCUUGAUUGUUUUAUUUAUUCUAAUUACUUGUAUCACAGUCACAAAAACACCAAACAGAUUGGUUGUCACGAUUUACAGGCAAUUUUACUUGCGACAGUUUGCGGUAUUAGAGGCAGAGGCAAUCGGAAGGGUUUCCUUUUUCGCAAGAAAAUUCCCCAACUUUUAUGAUAGUUGUUUCGCCGUUUCGAAGACAGUAUUGUUUUUAAGAUGGAAAAAUCCCAUCACUUUUUACUAUAUUGGCGUAAAUUAGUUCUAUUUUGAUUAUAUUGAUUUGCACAACACUGCGCCAAUAUUUUGUUCCAUACUGCAGCCCCCACCUCUACUGACGCUAUUGGCUGACGCUCUUCAAGUUUUUAAGUGGCUGCGACAUAUAUUGAAGGCGUGUUUAAAACCAGUUAUGAGAGUGGCUAGUUCGCCGAGAGUGGUUAUGAAGCAGAAUUUACGUACACUUCUCAAUAACUCACCACUAAGGCGAUAAGUUUUGCUUUUUCCAUCGCAUGCUUUAAGCACGGCUGAACAUGUGGGAGUGAUCUUGAAUACAAUUUGACAGGUCUGCGUAUGCAAUAGAUAUAUUUCGAUAAAAGUUCACACCGCAUAUAGUGGAAUUUAAGAUGUAGUUCAAAUGAUUCCUUCAUUGUGACGCUAAUCGAUUAAAAUUAUAGUACGUUGCAAGACUUAUCAAAAUUGGAUCAACAUGCAGUGGCGGACAAAACUAAGGCACCAUCUUCCAUUUCCUUCAAUAAAAAUUCGAAUAAUAACCUUCUUCGAGCACACUUCAAUUUUAUGAAAGUAAUAUCCUAAACACUUUACUCUAUCAAUAAUAUUUUUUUUUGCAUGUGGAAUACCAGUCGAAACCCAAACACA